rnacentral:rRNA from 1 species
UGGGGAAUAUUGGACAAUGGGCGCAAGCCUGAUCCAGCCAUGCUGCGUGAGUGAUGAAGGCCCUAGGGUUGUAAAGCUCUUUUGUGCGGGAAGAUAAUGACUGUACCGCAAGAAUAAGCCCCGGCUAACUUCGUGCCAGCAGCCGCGGUAAUACGGAGGGUGCAAGCGUUAUCCGGAUUUACUGGGUUUAAAGGGUGCGUAGGCGGAUGAAUAAGUCAGUGGUGAAAUCUCCGAGCUUAACUCGGAAACUGCCGUUGAUACUAUUUGUCUUGAAUAUUGUGGAGGUAAGCGGAAUAUGUCAUGUAGCGGUGAAAUGCUUAGAUAUGACAUAGAACACCAAUUGCGAAGGCAGCUUGCUACACAAUCAUUGACUCUGAGGCACGAAAGCGUGGGGAU